GAUGAACGCUAGCGGGAGGCCUAACACAUGCAAGCCGAGCGGUAUUGUUUCUUCGGAAAUGCGAGAGCGGCGUACGGGUGCGUAACACGUGUGCAACCUGCCUUUAUCUGGGGGAUAGCCUUUCGAAAGGAAGAUUAAUACUCCAUAAUAUAUUGAACGGCAUCGUUUAAUAUUGAAAGCUCCGGCGGAUAGAGAUGGGCACGCGCAAGAUUAGCUAGUUGGUGAGGUAACGGCUCACCAAGGCGAUGAUCUUUAGGGGGCCUGAGAGGGUGAUCCCCCACACUGGUAACGAGACACGGACCAGACUCCUACGGGAGGCAGCAGUGAGGAAGAUUGGUCAAUGGGUGCUAGCCUGAACCAGCCAUCCCGCGUGAAGGACGACUGCCCUAUGGGUUGUAAACUUCUUUUGUAUAGGGAUAAACCUACCCUCGUGAGGGUAGCUGAAGGUACUAUACGAAUAAGCACCGGCUAACUCCGUG
rnacentral:rRNA from 1 species